rfam:Microgenomates (Woesebacteria) bacterium GW2011_GWA1_39_8 TT61_C0040, whole genome shotgun sequence.
GCGGCUAUAGCUUAACGGAUAAAGCGUAAGGUUCCGGUCCUUAAAAUGGGGGUUCGAUUCCUCCUAGCCGCA